AUGUAACUCAGUUGGUAGAGUGCUUGUUUAACGUUCAUGAGACCCUGGGUUCCACUCCCAGUGU
rnacentral:tRNA from 1 species